rnacentral:rRNA from 1 species
UGGGGAAUAUUGCACAAUGGGCGCAAGCCCGAUGCAGCCAUGCCGCGUGUGUGAAGAAGGCCUUCGGGUUGUAAAGCACUUUUAGCGGGGAGGAAGGCGUUAAGGUUAAUAACCUUGGUGAUUGACGUUACCCGCAGAAGAAGCACCGGCUAACUCCGUGCCAGCAGCCGCGGUAAUACGGAGGGUGCAAGCGUUAAUCGGAAUUACUGGGCGUAAAGCGCACGCAGGCGGUAUGUAAAGUCGGAUGUGAAAUCCCCGGGCUCAACCUGGGGACUGCAUUCGGAACUGGCAGGCUAGAGUCUUGUAGAGGGAGGUAGAAUUCCAGGUGAAGCGGUGAAAUGCGUAGAGAUCUGGAGGAAUACCGGUGGCGAAGGCGGCCCCCUGGACAAAGACUGACGCUCAGAUGCGAAAACGUGGGGAGCACACGGG